rnacentral:rRNA from 1 species
AUUGAACGCUGGCGGCAUGCCUUACACAUGCAAGUCGAACGGUAACGCGGGGCAACCUGGCGACGAGUGGCGAACGGGUGAGUAAAGCAUCGGAACGUGCCCAGUAGUGGGGGAUAGCCCGGCGAAAGCCGGAUUAAUAUCGCAUACGACCUACGGGGGAAAGGGGGGGAUCGCAAGACCUCCCGCUAUUGGAGCGGCCGAUGUCAGAUUAGGUAGUUGGUGGGGUAAAGGCCUACCAAGCCGACGAUCUGUAGCUGGUCUGAGAGGACGACCAGCCACACUGGGACUGAGACACGGCCCAGACUCCUACGGGAGGCAGCAGUGGGGAAUUUUGGACAAUGGGCGCAAGCCUGAUCCAGCCAUGCCGCGUGCGGGAGGAAGGCCUUCGGGUUGUAAACCGCUUUUGUCAGGGAAGAAAUCUUCUGAGUUAAUACCUCGGGAGGAUGACGGUACCUGAAGAAUAAGCACCGGCUAACUACGUGCCAGCCGCCGCAGUAA